GUCCAUGGAAGCCUAGUGGACAUGGCACCUGCCAGGUAAGCUGAACACUGUGGGUUCGUUUCCCAUCCCUGGACA
rnacentral:tRNA from 1 species